rnacentral:rRNA from 1 species
CACGUAGGCGGACUUUUAAGUCAGGGGUGAAAUCCCGGGGCUCAACCCCGGAACUGCCUUUGAUACUGGAAGUCUUGAGUAUGGUAGAGGUGAGUGGAAUUCCGAGUGUAGAGGUGAAAUUCGUAGAUAUUCGGAGGAACACCAGUGGCGAAGGCGGCUCACUGGACAGUGACUGACGCUCAUAUGCGAAAGCGUGGGGAUCAAACAGGAUUAGAUACCCCUGUA